CAGAGAUGUCCCCUCCCCCCAACCACAGGCACCACCAUGAGCACAGGCAGUGAAACUGAAGCCCCACCACCCCCUCCCUAAGUCACUGAAGUGUACCCUUUAAGCCAGGGAGGGACAGGGCCACACUUUCAGUGCUAACAAUUGCACAUUAAAUCACUGUCUUCUCUGAUUCUGGAUCUGAAGGUUUCUCUCUGAGAAUGAAGUCUGCAAUCUGUCACAUCAGAACAGGAAGAGAGGAUUUGAGGGAGAACCCCUUCUCAGAUCUCCAGAGUGUGGAAGGGACGUUUUGGUGCUGGCUAUGGCUUUGUGACACUGCAGUUGAAACGGGCAAAGUGGGCUCCUCACUUGAAGAACUUUGAUGCCUCUAAAUGCUCUGAUGAGAAAAAACUUGUCCUCAAAAUCGAUGGUACUUUCUUGAAGAAAUGAAACGCUCCAGCACAUGAGGCACUGUUAAAUGACCAGCUGUGUAACCUCGAAUGCAUCAUGUAAUUGCCCUCCAUUCACUUAAGGUUCUAUAAAAUGGCCUCAUCCCUUGCCCCCAGCUGAGGCAGGAUGCUGAGACGUACUGGGGGAAUGCUUCUCAAUACUUCUCAACACAGUAUUGGGAGAAUAUUUUUCAAUGGGAAGAGGAGGGUUUUUAAGGCACUAAAUGGUAUUAUGUGAAAAAGAUUCAGAAUUAUUAUCACUGUGAAGCAGAGGAUGACUUUUUUAAAACAUAGAUUUUCAUUGUUGGUGGAACACUACAAAAUCUUGUUCAGUGUCAUCAUUUACAGUUGUUCUACAGAGGUUAAGGGACAUGCCCAAGAUCUCACAACUGUGCACUAAAUGAGAUAAUAUACCUAACUGUUUAGCACAGUGCCAGUGCAUAAUAAGCAGUCAAUAAACGUCAGUUGCUGUUGCAACUGCUGAUGUUGUUUUUACUAUGAUUCAGGUCUCCUCACUCCCAGUUCAGUGCUGUUAUUAUCAAAUACAAAAAGAAACUACAGGAAGGUAGCUUUAUGAGCCCAAGCAAUUUCUUACCAUAAGGAAAAUUAUUUCUUUCAUAAUUGAGAAAGUGCAAGCCGAGAGAAGGUAAGUGCUAUGCCUUGGCACAUAAUUCCCAGGAUGCUAACAUCACACUGAAGACUAAUUCAGGGGCUUGACUGGAGGAGGAGAGGCUACUCCUUUUUCCUAAUCCUUCAGCUCUCAGUGAGCGAUAGCACAGAGAACCUGCAUGUUGUGGACCAGAGACUGAAUCCAGUCUACAGCAACCCUGUCCUCAGCACCGGAGAUUGAAUCUAGGCUAUAGCAACUCAGCCCACAGCCUGUAGGAAAGAGCAAUGUCCUGAAAAUGCAAAAUGACACUGGCAUGGAGAAAGGAGAAACUGUCCAGCAGAUGAAGCUGGGAAAGAGGUGUGGUCAAAUGGGAAAAAAACAAAAAUGAAAGACAAAAAUCAGAUUCCUACUCACACUAUAUAUAAAACAUAAACUCUGUAGAUAAAGGAUUUAUGUAUCAAAACUAAAAUUAUAGAAUUCUUAGUAAAAAUAAUGAACAUCUUUUAGACUUCAGGACUGAGAAAGAUUUCUUAAGGCACACACAAAAAUUUGACUAAAAAAACAUUGAUUUGAUUGUGUUAAAAUUAAGAACUUUUGCUCAUGAAAAUGCAUCUUAAAUAAAAAGACAAGGUAUAAACUGGGAGAAGAUAUUCACAAUACAUAAAAUCAGCAAAAGAUAAGUAGAAAGAAUAUAUUAAAUAUCCUAUAGAUCAAUAAGAAAAAUACAACCAAUCUGACAGAAAGACAAAAGGCCGGGUGCGGUGGCUCACACCUGUAAUCUCAGCACUUUGGGAGGCCGAGGCAGAGGGAUCACAAGGUCAGGAGUUCAAGACCAGCCUGACCAACACGGUGAAACCUGUCUCUACUAAAAAUACAAAAAUUAGCCAGGCGUGGUGGCACACACCUGUAAUCCCAGCUACUCAGGAAACUGAGGCAGGAGAAUCGCUUGAACCUGGGAGGCAGAGGUUGCAGUGAGCCGAGAUCACGCCACUGCACUCCACCAGCCUGGGCGACAGAGCGAGACUCCGUCUCAAAAAGAAAAAAGAAAAACAGUCAAAAGACAUGAAAAGACAUAGCAAAGAAACAAAACACGAGUGGCAAAGAAAACAGAACAAAGGAUUUUCAGCAUUACUGGUGAUCAAGGAAAUGCAACUGAAGACAGUGAUGAUGUAGUCUAAGCCCAUUUUAGUGGCAAAGGUUAAGAAGUAGGGCAAUAUCCAGCAUUAAAGAGACUGUGGCUACACAGGUCCACUUCGGCAUUGCUGGUGGGAGUGUAAAUUGGUACAACCACCUUUGGAAAAGAGUGUUCACUAUCUCCUAAAGAUUCUGAUCCCUUAUGGCCAAGCAAAUCUACUAGUAGUUCUAUCCCCAAAGGAGACUCUUGAACAUUUACAACAAGAGACAUGUACAAGAAUGUUCUUAGCAGCAGUGCUUUCAAUAGAAGAAACACUGACACAACCCAAUGCCUGAAAUUGAAAGCAUGAAUGAACAAAUUAUGGCUUAUUCACACAAUGGAAUUUCCUACCGUCAUCAAAACAAUGAACUCCAGCAAUCAGUAAUAUGGAUGAUUCCUAGUUUAAUAUUAAGUAAAAAAAAUAAAUUCCUUCAAAUUAUCAACAGUUCAAUACACUUUUCGUAAAGUUCAAAUAACUAAAAUACUGGGAAUAUAUAUAAAUGCAAUACAACUGCAUGAAAAGGAAAGCAGUGGAAUGAUUAACAAAAGAUUCAAGAGGCUGGGUGCAAUGGCUCAUGCUUGUAAUCUCAGUGCUUUGAGAGGCCAAGGCAGAAGGAUCACUUAAGCCCAGGGGUCUGAGACCAGCCUGGGGAAUAUAGGGAGACCCUAUCUCUACAAAGUUUUUUUUAAAAAACUUCACCAGACAUGGUGGUAUGUCCCUGUAGUCCUAACUACUCAGAAGCUGAAGCAGGAGGAUUGCUUGAGUCCAGGAGCUCAGGGUUACAAUAAGCUAUGACUGUGCCACUGUGCUUCAGCCUAGGUGACAAAGCAAGACCCUGUCUCAAAAAAAAAAAAAAAAAAAAAAAGACUCAAGAAUGUGGUUACCUUAGGUGGGGAAAGGCAGUCAUGUGGUUACACGUAAGUGAUUGUUAACUUCCUAGCUUCUGUUUUGUGUGGUGAAUGCAUG
rnacentral:lncRNA from 1 species